rnacentral:rRNA from 1 species
UACGAAGGGGGCUAGCGUUGCUCGGAAUCACUGGGCGUAAAGCGCACGUAGGCGGAUUGCUAAGUCAGGGGUGAAAUCCUGGAGCUCAACUCCAGAACUGCCUUUGAUACUGGCGAUCUCGAGUCCGGGAGAGGUGAGUGGAACUGCGAGUGUAGAGGUGAAAUUCGUAGAUAUUCGCAAGAACACCAGUGGCGAAGGCGACUCUUUGGCCUGUAACUGACACUGAGGCGCGAAAGCGUGGGGAGCAAACAGG